CACUUGAAAAUCAUCUUCCCCAAUAGGUUAUAUUGAUUUGUCAAAAAGAAGAGUUUCUCCAGAGGAGGCAAUCAAAUGUGAAGACAAAUUCACAAAAUCAAAGACUGUUUACAGCAUCCUUCGCCACGUUGCUGAAGUCUUGGAGUACACUAAGGAUGAGCAGCUUGAGAGCCUGUUCCAGAGAACUGCCUGGGUGUUUGAUGACAAGUACAAAAGACCUGGAUAUGGUGCUUAUGAUGCAUUCAAGCAUGCAGUCUCGUAAGGACAACUUCUGUGCUUCUAGGGGCUUGUUUCAAAUUGCAGAGUAUUCCCCAAAGUAGAUCUGUCACCACAUUCUUUUGGGUUGUAUCGUUCUGGGAUUCUUGCCCAGAAUAAGUGUGGAGAAUAUACUGGUCAAGUAAAUCUAGUAAAUUUUGGCAUCAGUCUCACAGAGGAAGAACCACUGGUCUUCAUUUGUCUGUCAGAAUUUGCCUGGUUUUAGUCCCAGGCAGAUUUUGUCAGAAGUAUCGAGCUCUAUGUCUGAAGAUGUUUCUACUCAGAGCUGAUCGUCACUCUUCCACUGCACAAGCAGCUUUUUUCUUUUUUUAAAUGCAGCAAGCUGACUUGUCACUUCUCUCAACUUCCAAACUUAAAGAAUGGGAUCAUAAACUUAGAAAUGGAAUUAUGAACAGAAAGAUGUGGAAAUGGUGAUGCUAAUGAAGCAUGCACUGGGAUAGAGUGCUUUUAUUAUUUUAAUUGAGUCUGAUAUUUUAAUCUGCUUUCAGAAUUAAAGUAUUUGGUUUCCCUCUA